rnacentral:tRNA from 1 species
GGAGAGAUGGCUGAGUGGUCGAAAGCGGCGGUCUUGAAAACCGUUAUUUCGAGAGAUCGGGAUCGAGGGUUCGAAUCCCUCUCUCUCCUCCA